GUGGGGAAUUUUGGACAAUGGGCGCAAGCCUGAUCCAGCAAUGCCGCGUGCAGGAAGAAGGCCUUCGGGUUGUAAACUGCUUUUGUACGGAACGAAACGGUCCGGGUUAAUACCCUGGGCUAAUGACGGUACCGUAAGAAUAAGCACCGGCUAACUACGUGCCAGCAGCCGCGGUAAUACAUAGGGUGCAAGCGUUAAUCGGAAUUACUGGGCGUAAAGCGUGCGCAGGCGGUUUUGUAAGACAGGCGUGAAAUCCCCGGGCUCAACCUGGGAAUUGCGCUUGUGACUGCAAGGCUGGAGUGCGGCAGAGGGGGAUGGAAUUCCGCGUGUAGCAGUGAAAUGCGUAGAUAUGCGGAGGAACACCGAUGGCGAAGGCAAUCCCCUGGGCCUGCACUGACGCUCAUGCACGAAAGCGUGGGGAGCAAACAGGAUUAGAAACCCGGGUAGUCC
rnacentral:rRNA from 1 species